rnacentral:rRNA from 1 species
UACGUAGGUGGCAAGCGUUGUCCGGAUUUACUGGGCGUAAAGAGCGCGCAGGCGGUCGUUUAAGUCGAAUGUGAAAGCCCCCGGCUCAACUGGGGAGGGUCAUUCGAUACUGAUCGACUUGAAGGCAGGAGAGAGAAGUGGAAUUCCCGGUGUAGUGGUGAAAUGCGUAGAUAUCGGGAGGAACACCAGUGGCGAAGGCGGCAUCCUGGACCGACAUUGACGCUGAGGAGCGAAAGCCAGGGGAGCAAACGGG